rnacentral:lncRNA from 1 species
CCUAGCCCGAGGAUGGAGGCUGAGGCCGCCUGUUGAGUCACAGUUUCCCUGUGAUGCUCAUUUUAACCAGAUGGCACUUGCUUAGCAGUUUGGAGGAGAAGACCUGUUCCCCUGCAGAGAUUCAUUAUUUAGAAAGUGAUGCCUUAUACCCAGGAUUUAAUCAGUGGCUCUUCAGGUUGCCAUGUAGAAAGCAGCUUUGCUGGCUGCCACUUUCGAUCAAGGGCUAAACUCUGAGGGUGACAUGCCACUAAGGAGCUGAACGGAGCCUGAGUCCUUGUAGCAGAGGCUGGUCUCCAGUCCUGUCUGUUCUUCUUCUUGGGCACACAGCUAGGCUACAUUCCCUAGCCUUCCUUGGAGCUUAGAAUAAUUCCUAGCCAAUAGCAUUUGAGUAUAAUUGAGUGGGCCACCUCCAGAUGUGGCCCAUUACAAGUCACAUUCUCUGCCUCCAACCCAGGUUACUUCAGGUAAUAAUCCUUCUGCCUAGAAAGGUUGGGCACCCUGAUAUGCACAAAUCUGCAUUAACUUCACAGAUGACUCAAUUAGCAGGUGAUGACUUACUGGCAGUGUUCAUUACGGUGGCCUUUCUAGUUGUCAUCUUCCCAGAUGACAUUUUUAGAAUUUCAUCUCUACACUUUCCAAAAACACUACUUGACACCUGUGGGUUUUAAAAUGAAAUAACCUCAGAUAUGAAAUAACCUUUCCCCAAUCCAUUCAUUGUAGUUGGAAGCUGGUCUUACUAAUGGCAGGGUGACCGUAACACUUGGUUAUGAACCAGGGUAUUGCCUCCAACCAAGCCUUAACAAUCUCAUCCUCCCUUUAGCCUUCCAUGAUUAGACCUCAACUCAUGAGAACUCUUGCCUUGCUCACAAGUGGGAGUAAAUGCUCAUAGCUCUAGAAAUCUCCCAGGAACCAGACAUCACGGAAACUAGAAAGGCUAAGGGAGUCCAAUCUUCCUCUAAAUUGGCCAACAGUAGAGUGGUGGAAAGAGAACAAGCUGCAAACCAGACAGACCCAAGCUUGAAUCUCACCUCUGCCAAGCUACCAGGUACGUGAGUUUUUCCAAGUUAUAUCACUCCCCUGAUACUCAGGCGCCUCAUUUGAAAGAUGAAGCCUCUUCCUAUCUUACAAGGAUGAAGCAUAUGGAAUGGAAAGCCCUCUGUCAAUGUGGUUAUCUUUGGAAGUGAUUGCAGCUCUCUUGCUUCAUUCUCGCACACCUCUGGAGCCCUUGGUCUCAGUUAGAAUCCCAGCCCUGACACUUAAUGAGGUGUGUAACUUGUCCAAAUAAUCUAACUUCUUUGUACUGUUUCCUCAUCUUUAAAAAGAGGACAAUAAUAGCACUACCUACACAGCACUGUUGCAAGGAUUUAGUGAGUUAAAGUGUGCGUAGUACAUACAGCAGAGCGUGUAGAAGUAUCCAGUGAACUGUUAUUAUCAUAUGAAGAGACUAUUUGGUUGAUCUCGUCAAGGACAGAAAGCUCCUUGGGGCUUGAAACCUUGCCUGUAUACCAGUUACAGACUCCCUUUUGCUGUUAAACCCAGUCCUUAGGAUGCUCAGUCAAAUCCUGUGGACUUACUGGCUGUUCUGCUGACGUGGAAACAAGGUGGGGUGUGACCCAUCUCCGGGCGAGUAAACUUUUGGGCACCUGACAGUGUCAGAGCCUCGGGUACCACCUGUAAAUGGAUGGAACCCUGUGUCUGUGCCCAUAGCAUUGGUCUGGUCUGUCAUCAGAAAGGAAUCUUGCUGUCAGAUGAUCACACAUCCUCCCAUAGUCUAGUUUAGUUUAGUUUAGUUUAGUUUAGUUUAGUUUAGUUUAGUUUAGUUUAGUUUAGUUUAGUUUUUUAAGACAGGGUCUCGCUCUGUCACCCAGGCUGGAGUGCAAUGGCAUGUUCAUGGCUCACUGCAACCUUGACGUCCCAGGUUCAAGCGAUUCUCUCACUUUUGUCUCCCAAGUAGCUGGAACUACAGGCAUGCACCACCAUGCCUGGCUAAUUUAAACAUUUUUUGUAGAGAAGGGGUUUACCAGUGUGGCCCACGCUGGUCUUGAACUCCUGGGCUCAAGCGAUCCUCCUGCUUUGGCCUCCCAAAUUGUUGGGAUUAUAGGCGUGAGCCACUGCACCUGGUCCCCCAGAAGCUAAAGGAUGGUGCAGGUUCUGUUUUUAAAUGUACCUGUUAAGUAUGUAUUAGCUCAAACAGAGUUUACCUGAGAUGUGCAUCUGGGGUCCACCCUCUUUGGCACUGUCCCUCAUUUUCCUCCUCCAACAUUCUCCCAAUCUCUCUCUGUUAACCCCAACAACCUGCCACCCCUCCCUAACAAAGGAUUCCCAGCUCAAGGCCAAUUCCAAUUGGAUCGAGUUUUUCUUCUGCAGAAAUUGUGGGGAGGUGGCUUCAGAGGCUCACAAGCAGAACCCCACCCAGACACAUAAACUUUUCUUUGGCUGGUACCAACUCCUCUAUUGCAGGGUAUGGUCCAAGUAGGUUAUACAAGUCUCUACCUCUUCUAGCUGAAGCCAACCUCCCAGGAAAAGGAUGAGAGGAGAAAGCCAUCCUGCCUGGUGUGUGGAUAAUACCACCACCAGAGUCUCCUGUAAUUUUGAUUCGAUGGCAUGCAGCUGCGUGACCUAAGGCACGUAUCUCCAUUCACAGGGUGUGGUCAGUACUCUGUGAAUAUCAGGUGUUCUGUCUGCCCUGUCUCCUGUCUUCCUGGAGCCUGCCCUUACCCAGUGAGUCCCUGGAGGGAACAUUCUGGCAUCUGGCUGUGAGCUGUCACAGACAUGGGUUUCUUUCGGUUCCCAGAAUGAUGGGAUGCCAGCCGCUGGCUGCCCCCAAGAAACUUGGGAGCAGGACAGGCUUGGCUGUCCCAGAGGAAGAGCCUGGCAUUGGGCCAGGAGGCUCAGGAGGGAAGAUGAGCUCAUUCUGCCCAGCUCGGUUCUCCCGUAUGCAGACCAGGUCAUCACAGGGACCUGCCUCCACAUUUGCAUCCCCCACGGCAUAUUUUCCCAGCACAUGCAGCAUUGGGAACUUGAACGUCCCUCUGCUUUUCCUUGGUGAGACCCACCAGCCCCGCCUUAGGAAGGAGGCUGAACAUUUGACGGAGCUUUCCUGUCACCUGUGAGCGACGUGCACGCUGCUUCCGAAGAAAGAGACAUCCCCCUACUGUUUUCUCACAGUGGGAUGAUUCAACUUUUUCUUUCUCACAAUCCCAGAUAAUCAUAUCUUCCCAGGUUUUGUCAUCUUUGAGGACUACUCACUAUCUAGUUAUGAGUCAAACAAAACCCAAUUUAACUGAUAACUAACCAGCCAUCACGUAUCCCUGAAGAUAAACCUGGUUUAUCCUUUUUAUACCCUCUGGCAGAGCAAAGGAACAAGGAGUUUGGGAGAGAAAAAAAAACACAACACUAGAAACAGCACUGACACAGGUCGUUAAAUACAGAUGUGACCAGCCUUGAUUACAAGUGUUGUCAUCCUCUUUUAACAGGGACCUACCCCGAACUUUCAUGAACCCCUGGUAGCUGAAUAGCAGCUUGUCUAAGCGAGGUGCAGGGAUUUUGUCAAAGUCGGCCUCGGUGUUAAAGGCAGGGCCACCUACCAUGAACUUCUCUCUGUGACUUUAUUCUUUAGCAGUGCUCAAGUGUAAAUAAACUUGUUUACCAGGAUCAGAAUGGCCAUGUUAAUGAAGUCUUAUUUGUGUCACCACAAUGACAAGUAAUUUGUGCACAGCUGGACUCGGAGAGGGGACAAAACCAGAGAAAUUGUAUUUCUGUUCUGAAGUUUCCAUACAGAUGCCUUAGGCCAAAGUUAGUACAGCCAAUAUUUGCCUGUUUCUUUGGAUUGUGUGUCCAUGCUGGAGAAAAGCCUUGUUACUGUGCCCAGUGUGGUAAACGAAAUUAUAUGUACGCAGUGAGAAGAAAAAUGAAAUAAGAAGCACUGAUGAAUGUACCCACGGGUGUGACCUUGGGGGCCAGUGUGUGGUUUUUAUGAAAUGAACGCAUGAAUACGAGGACCCUAAUUAUUGCUUUCAACGGACAAAGUAUGGUGAAUAUAUAGAGAACGUUGCUGUACAACACUGGCUGUGUCUCAAAGCGGCUUUAGAAGUAAAUAUAGAAAUUCUUUGGUACAUGGUAUUGCAUAGAAAAGUCAUUAAGAAAAAAGCAAGACAAUUUGUUAAGACCUUGUUAAGUGGAGCUGGGGGAUGAUUAAUUUUGUUUGUUUGUUUUUGUUGUUCCCUGGUAGAGCUCAACAAACUACAGACCACGGGCCAAAUCUGACCCACCGCUGCUUUUGUAAAUAAAACUUUAUUGGAAAAAAGCCACAUUUGUGUAUGUGUUGUCUGUGGCUGCUUUUGUGCUACCGAGACAGAGGCAAGAAAGGAGAGAAAAAGAGGCAUGGAGCAGGUAUAUUACGGGUUGAAUUGAGUUCACCAAAAAGAUAUGUUGAAAUCCAAAGCCCCAGUGUCUGUGAAAGUUACCUUAUUUGGAAAUAAGGUCUUUGCCAAUGUAAAGAUAAAGUCAUGCUGAAUUAAGGUGAGCCCUAACCUAAUAUGGCUGGUGUCCUUAUAAGAAGAGAAGAGACAGACAAAGGGAAGGAGUCCAUGUGACCACAGGGCCAGUGGAAGUGAUGCAACUGCCUGCCAAGUGCACCAAGGAUGGGUGGCCACCAGCAGAAGCUCGGAAGAUGCAAGGAAGGAUUCUAUCCAGAGUUACAGAGGGAGCAUGGCCCAGCUGACACCUUGAUUUCAAACCUGUAGCCUCAAGAAAUGUGGAUAAUGACCUUCUGUCAUUUUAAGCCACCCCGUCUGCAACACUUUCUUAUGGCAAUGUGAUGGGUAAGCUUAUGUGUCAAUGUGACUGAGCCCCAGGAUGCUUAGAUACUUGAUGAAACA